rnacentral:rRNA from 1 species
CAUCAGUUUGUUGGUAGGGUAAUGGCCUACCAAGACUAUGACGCGUAGCCAGGCUGAGAGGCUGAUUGGCCACAAGGAACUGAGACACGGUCCUACUCCCAAGGGAGGCAGCAGUGAGGAAUUUUCCGCAAUGGGGGCAACCCUGACGGAGCAAUACUACGUGAAGGAGGAAGGUCUACGGAUUGUAAACUUCUGUUAGUGCGGAAGAAGGGCUGAGCGUAAGUUCAGUUUUGACAGUACGCACAGAGAAAGCGACGACUAACUACGUGCCAGCAGUCGCGGUAAGACGUAGGUCGCGAACGUUAUCCGGAAUUAUUGGGCGUAAAGGGUGCGUAGGCGGCAUAAUAAGUUAUUGGCGGGAAAUCGAGGCUCAACCUCGUGGAAACUGAUAAUACUGUUUUGCUUGAGUACAGGAGAGGUUAAUGGAACUCCAUGUGGAGCGGUAAAAUGUGUAGAUAUAUGGAAGAACAUCAAUAACGGCGAAGGCAGUUAACUAUUCUGUUACUGACGUUGAGGCACGAAAGCGUGGGGAGCAAAAAGGAUUAGAUACCCUUGUAGUCCACGCCCUAAACGAUGAGUACUAGAUAUUGGGAACUUGAUUCUCAGUGUCGCUAGUUAACACAGUAAGUACUCCGCCUGGGUAGUACGCUCGCAAGAGUGAAACUCAAAGGAAUUGACGGGGACUCGCACAAGCAGUGGAGCAUGUGGUUUAAUCCGAUACAACGCGUAGAACCUUACCAAGGCUUGACAUGUCUGGCAAAACUGUGGAAACACAGCGGAGGUUAUCCGGACACAGGUGCUGCAUGGCCGUCGUCAGUUCGUGCCGUGAGGUGUAUGGUUAAGUCCUAUAACGAACGCAACCCUUGGACUUAGUUGCCAGCAUUCAGUUGGGGACUCUAGGUCGACUG